GCAUUGAAAAGGAGAAGAAGUCUCCUGGCCCUGUUUAUUUCAUAAGAGACAAGAGGAUUUCCCAUUCCCAAACCUCAUCUGGAUGGAGAAGGCUGUGAAGAAGAGGAAGAUGCCCCAGGGCACUGAGGCAGGGAAGGAGCUGAGGAUGGAGACCAGGGAGGACAAAUCCCCAUGGCAGAACCUUGUGG